UCGGUUCCAUCACUGCCUUUUUGAACUGAUGACUCACAUGAUACCCAAACAUCACCCCAGGAUAAUCAAUCAAUGUGCUGAUAUCCUGUAAGUGGCAGUCGGGACUGCAGACCCAGAGACAGCUGUGAGAUUGCACAACUCCAAGUCAUGAUGGAAGCUGAGAGAGGAUCAGGAAGCCUGGCCCAAUGCCAUCGUGAACUUAAAAACUGGAGAGAAGAUGGGUUAUGGCAGAAGGAUCCAUGUGCUCCUGAUUGCAUCUUCUGUCAUUGUUCAGCUCUGCAGUUACUUUGGAAUGGCUUCUUUCUCACGUAACCUGUUUGCAUGGUGGCCCAAAAGGCUAUUAGCAGCUCUGAGACUUUGCUUUUACAAUAUUAGCUUGAUGCAAAAGUAAUUGCGGUCUUUGCACUGUUAAAACUUGCCAUUUGAUAUUGGAACACAUUCUGAAUAAAUGUGG
rnacentral:lncRNA from 1 species